GUCUACGGCCAUGCCACCCUGAACACGUACGAUCUCAUCUGAUCUCGGAAGCUAAGCAGGGUUGGGCCUGGUUAGUACUUGGAUGGAAAACCACCUAGGAAUACUAGGUGCUGUAGGUG
rnacentral:rRNA from 1 species